ensembl:lncRNA
CGGAUUCUGAUCAGAGAAAAGAAGGUGGGAAGGAACAAAAACGAAUGGGUCACUUUUCCUGAAACAAACACUGGUGCACAUUGAACUCAGAGAGAAUGACAAUGAACCAGAGAGAUGAAGAGGAAGGCGAUCAGGCAGCUGGAAAACACACCAGGAAACAGGCGACUAUACAAGGCAGACAAGGUGUAGUGCCACCGUUGGAUCAGUCAGUUGGAUCCAGCUAAACCAACCCGGGACCAGAUCCGGCCCAACCACAUUGGACCGGGCGAGAGGAACAUGGAAAGGAAAACUCGGGCUAAGGGAUGUCUGGUUUGUCAGCUCCGGCAUCCCAUCCAGGACCACCCGUCCCUCCGAACCGGCACCUCCCCCUCACCUAGCACCUCCCUAAAGGGGGGCAGGGAUAGUUUGCAGAAACAACUCACCGAGUAAAGACCAGUGAAAAUCCAGAAAUUCUGCGAAAAAUAAAAGUUGGUCGCCUCGGGAUAAAGAUGGGGUUUCAGUUCUUUCCUUCUUUGUCCUUCGUCUCACACUCCGAAGCACACACUCGCAUACACAAACAGGCACCAAACAC